rnacentral:rRNA from 1 species
UACGUAGGGUGCAAGCGUUGUCCGGAAUUAUUGGGCGUAAAGAGCUCGUAGGCGGUUUGUCGCGUCUGCUGUGAAAACGCGAGGCUCAACCUCGCGCCUGCAGUGGGUACGGGCAGACUAGAGUGCGGGUAGGGGAGAUUGGAAUUCCUGGUGUAGCGGUGGAAUGCGCAGAUAUCAGGAGGAACACCGGUGGCGAAGGCGGUUCGUCUGGGCAUGUCCUGACGCUGAGGAGCGAAAGUGUGGGGAGGCGAACAGG